UACGGAGGGUGCAAGCGUUAUCCGGAUUUACUGGGUUUAAAGGGUGCGUAGGUGGAUUUGUAAGUCAGUGGUGAGAUCUCCGAGCUUAACUCGGAAACUGCCAUUGAUACUAUAAGUCUUGAAUUAUCUGGAGGUAAGCGGAAUAUGUCAUGUGGCGGUGAAAUGCUUAGAUAUGACAUAGAACACCAAGUGCGAAGGCAGCUUACUACGGAUCGAUUGACACUGAGGCACGAGAGCGUGGGGAUCAAACAGG
rnacentral:rRNA from 1 species